UAAAUAUUACACAUGGCAGUCAUGAUAUGCAUCCGCUUCAGUUAUGUCAUCUACAGGGAGGAGGAUUAGGAUUUAUCCCCGAGUGUCUAUGUGGCGUUUGUGAGGAAGAGAUAAACAGCCGAUUGGGUUACUAUGUUUGUAAGAGAUGUAAAUACUAUGUUCACAUCAAAUGCUCAACUAAGAAAUGGGAUCCAAUAAUUGAAGAAGAAAAAGAAGUUCAAAUAAAUGACAAAUUGAUCCAAUUUCCGUUGCAUUCUAGUGAGGUAGUACGGAACACGCUAACCCAAUUUAUUAAAAAUAUAUGUCAAUGGAAGGACGAGGAAGA